GGAAAUGGUCGUGUUUUCGGUGCCCACUGAAGUCACUGUGAUCUUGUUAGAUAUCGAAGGUACCACAACCCUGAUUGAUUUCGUGAAGGACAUUUUAUUUCCUUACAUCAAAGAAAAUGUUAAAGAGUAUCUGCAGACACAUGGGGAAGAAGAGGAGUGUCUGCAUGAUGUCAAUCUUUUGAGGCUGAAGAAGAUGCCCACCUGGAUGGGGCUCUUCCAAUCCCUGCAGCAUCUGGAAAUGGGGUCGAUGAACUGCAACAGGUAAUCCAGGCCAUCGUAGAUAAUGUGUGCUGGCAGAUGUCUCUGGACCGAGAAACCACAGCACUCAGACAACUGCAGGGCCACGUGUGGAGGGCAGCAUUCACAGCUGGACACAUGAAAGCAGAGUUCUUUGAAGAUGCAGUUCCAGCCAUCAGGAAGUGGAGAGAAGAUGGAAGGAAGGUGUAUAUCUAUUCUUCUGGAAGUGUAAAGGCUCAGAAACUAUUAUUUGGGCAUUCUACAGAGGGAAAUAUUCUUGAGCUUUUUGAUGGUCACUUUGAUACCAAAAUUGGACACAGUGGAGAGUGAGAGUUAGAGAGAGAUUGCAAACAGCAUUGGAUGCUCAACCAACAACGUCUUGUUUCUAACAGAUGUUCCUCUAGAGGCCAGUGCUGCUGAGGAAGCAGGUGUGCAUGUAGCUGUGGUGGCUAGACCUGGCAAUGCAGGAUUGACAGAUAAUGAGAAAACUUCCUACAGCCUCAUCACAUCCUUCAGCGAACUCUACCUCAGCAUGGAGGAAGACUUCCAUAGAAGACCAAACUGUUUCUCAGAGUUGUCCCCCUAA